AAUUAAAAUCUUAUAAGGUUUAUAAGUUUUAUUUUGUAAAUAGAAAUAACUUAGUUUUUAGUAUAUUUUAUUGAAAGAAUUAUUUUUGUUAUAGUGAAUAGUACUGUGAAGGAUGAAUAUGUCUUUAAUUAGAAGUAAUUUUAAUUUAGUGUACCUUUUGUAUCAGGGUUUAUUAAUUUAUUAUAUUUAUUAUAAGUUUCCCGAAAUUAGAAGAAAUAUAAUUAUAUGUUAGUUAAUGUGUUAAAAUUAUUGAUAAUUUAAUUAUAGUAAUGAAAUGUUAUUCGUUUCUAAAUAUCUGGUUUUCUUGGAAUUAAAUUUAAUUUAGGAUUCUUAAGGGAUAAAAUAUAAUUCUAUUUUUUUUAUUUUAAGUUUCUAAUAAUUUUGGGGAUAAGCUCAAAGUUAAUUGUAUAAGUUUUGUGAUUAAUAAGAUUUUGUAGGCUUGAAAUCAGCCAUCAUUUAUUUCGUUAUGGAAAAUUCUUUUAUUUAAUUUAUUUUUUUUUCUUUAUUUUUUUACUUGAAUGAUUUGAUUAAUUUAUUAUUUUUUGUAAUAAUGAUUAAAUUAGUAUUUUAGUGAAUUAAAUUAUAGGAAUUCGGCAAGUUUAAUGUUUGCCUGUUUAACAAAAACAUGUCCUUUUGUUUAUUUAUUUAAGGUCUGGCCUGCCCAAUGAGGUUUUGAAUGGCCGCAGUAUCCUAACUGUGCUAAGGUAGCAUAAUCAUUUGUCUUUUAAUUGAGGGCUUGUAUGAAAGGUUGGACAAGAUAUUAACUUUCUUUAAUUUAAUUUUAAGAACUUAAUUUUUAAGUUAAAAAGCUUAAAUUUUUUUGUUGGACGAGAAGACCCUAUAGAUCUUUAUAGUUUUUAGUUUUAGUAAUUUAGUGGUUAAUUUAUUUGGAGUGAAAAAAUUAUUUUGUUGGGGUGACUGUAGAAUUUUAUGAACUUCUAUUUUUAUAUUUCAUAUGUUAGUGUUUUUUUGAUCCAUAUAUUUAUGAUUAGAAGAUUAAGUUACCUUAGGGAUAACAGCGUAAUUUCUUUGGAGAGUUCAUAUUGAUAAAGGAGUUUGCGACCUCGAUGUUGGAUUAAAAUGAGUUAUGGAUGCAGAAGUCUAUAUACUGGGUCUGUUCGACCCUUAAUUUUUUACAUGAUCUGAGUUCAGACCGGCGUAAGCCAGGUCAGUUUCUAUCCUCAAUUUUGAGAAUACAUUUUAGUACGAAAGGACCAUAUGUAUGAAAUACUUUUUUUGUUUUUGAUUAAUAUU
rnacentral:rRNA from 1 species